GAAGAAAAGAGAACGUGAUGCACCAUUUCAAAAACCCGAGAUUCGAGUUAAUACGACACGACGUCGUGGAGCCCCUGUUGCUGGAGGUUGACCAGAUCUACCAUCUUGCUUGCCCUGCAUCGCCUGUGCAUUACAAGCAUAACCCGGUCAAGACCAUAAAGACAAAUGUUGUAGGGACAUUAAAUAUGCUAGGGUUGGCCAAGAGAGUCGGUGCAAGGUUCUUGCUCACCAGCACCAGCGAGGUAUACGGUGAUCCUCUCCAGCACCCGCAGGUCGAGACUUACUGGGGCAACGUCAAUCCCAUAGGUGCGUCCAUGACUCCAUUCUCCUUU
rnacentral:lncRNA from 1 species